UGGGGAAUAUUGCGCAAUGGGCGAAAGCCUGACGCAGCAACGCCGCGUGCGGGAUGACGGCCUUCGGGUUGUAAACCGCUUUCAGCAGGGACGAAGGGUUACCUUGACGGUACCUGCAGAAGAAGCACCGGCUAACUACGUGCCAGCAGCCGCGGUGAUACGUAGGGUGCGAGCGUUGUCCGGAAUUAUUGGGCGUAAAGAGCUUGUAGGCGGUCUGUUGCGUCGGAAGUGAAAACUCAGGGCUUAACCCUGAGCCUGCUUUCGAUACGGGCAGACUUGGGGGAGGUAGGGGAGAACGGAAUUCCUGGUGGAGCGGUGGAAUGCGCAGAUAUCAGGAGGAACACCAGUGGCGAAGGCGGUUCUCUGGACAUUUCCUGACGCUGAGGAGCGAAAGCGUGGGGAGCAAACAGG
rnacentral:rRNA from 1 species